UACAGAGGUGGCAAGCGUUGUUCGGAAUUACUGGGCGUAAAGGGCGCGUAGGCGGCCUUCUAAGUCGGACGUGAAAUCCCCAGGCUUAACUUGGGAACUGCGUCCGAUACUGGAGGCUUGAGUGCGGGAGAGGGAUGUGGAAUUCCAGGUGUAGCGGAUGAAUGCGUAGAUAUCUGGAGGAACACCGGUGGCGAAGGCGGCAUCCUGGACCGA
rnacentral:rRNA from 1 species